ACAAAAUUGUUCUUUCACACACAGCAAAACCACCAGUGUUGAUUUUACAGAGUUCGCUACUCUAGAGUGGUCAGGUGUUAGUUGUAGUGUUCGUUUAUAAUUUAUCAUCACUCACAGUGUCAGAAACUUCCACAAGGGGGUGUUGCUUUCCAGUGUUCCAAUAAUAACGUUUGCGGGGAGUUAAGAUUCACGCCACGCCCCUUCUUUCUGAAGCGGGAAAGUCAGUUACUCAGCAUCGACCGACCUGGACUCACGUUACUGAGGUUUGGAACAUGCUGCUGAAGUUGGUUAUCAGGGCUCCAGGAAAUGUAUCAAACUGCAGGAUUGAUUUAUUUUUGCUCAUUAGUGAAGGUGGUAAGCUAAACUGACUGUGGACUAAUGUAUGCAUUGUUGAUGACACUGAAAUCGAGGAAGACAUUCUACAAGAUGUGCUGCUUACAGUUAGAGGACAAAAUGAAGAUGCAACAAGCAGCUUCUGCCACUGUCAUUUACCAUCUGAACUUGACCAAAGUCGUUUCAAGAAAUCUAAGACAACAGAUGACUCCAUGACCGAGAUGGUCAUUUGUGCCAUUAAGCAGAAUAGUGGAAGUCCUAGUCAACAUUUUUGUUGCACAUAUUGGUAAAUGCACUUCAUUAUUUUAAUUUAAUUUGUCAAAAUACAUGCUUUCAUAAAUGAUGACUUUCAAAAUCUUUAUUCAUUUGUCAAAUUGAAAUGUGUCUGUCAUCUUAUGUAUUAGAGGUCGACCGAUAUGGCUUUUUCUCUGGCCGAUGCCGAUGUUUAGAAAUCAGGGCAGCCGAUGGCCGAUAUGUUUGGCUGAUUUUCUACAUGUACAUAAUAAUCAAAAUGUUCUCAUCAUUAGCAGAUAUUUUAAAUGUAAAAAUGUCACUAUUUAAGUCAAAGUAUUUAAAAAAAAUUAUGACUGGUCUUUCUGAAGAGUUUUACAACCUCCUCUGCACCAUGCAUUUAUCAGACACAGAUAUUACCUGACACUCUGCUGUCAUCUUUGAUCAGUUUUUUUCCAUGGCUUUUAUUGCUUUGUAGGAUAAAAUCCUUAUAUGGUAGACCUGAUAAAUUAUUUAUUCAUCAUAAAGUUAACAUAGUAAAUGUCUAUGUUUUUUAGUUGAGACUGUUAUUUAGGGCAAAUCUUUCUAAACACAUUUACAUUAUCAUUUCUGAGGCGCUAUAAGUGACUGAUUGUGCUGACAGUGACGUCUUGUUCCGCCAUCGUUUACUAAAGUUGUUUGUGAACAAGGCACGGCUGCACACACACGGGAGCUAUCUGCUUGCAGCAAGAUGCAGCGUCACGAGUUCUACAACAACGCUUAGGUGCCCGCAGAUGCGCCUGUCUAUUAUUCGGCCUAAUUUUGCAGCAAAAUCGGCCAAAGCCGAUUUUUUAAAAUAUGCCAAAAAUCGGUCGACCUCUAUUAUGUAUUGUACAUAGGGCUGGGUAUUGGCAAGGGCCUCCCGAUACGAUACGUAUCACGAUACAAUGCGUUGCAUGUUGUGAUACAUUGCAAUACUUUUUCUUUUUUUUAUCAAAAAUUUAAAAAAGCUUUGAAAGCUGCAGGUGUUUUUAAAUUUUCUGCCAUUUUCUCACUCCCUCUAACUUCUGAGACAUUGGCCGUAUAUGGCAGACAACUGGACAGUGACAACUACAGCAGCGGCAGAGGAGGUCGUUUGACGCACACAGAAGAAUUUGAUUGGUUUUAAAAUAUCAAUAGUAGCGAUCGAAAUAUCGAUACACUUUCGAUACAGCCAACUAUCACGAUAGUUAGCUGUAUCGAUAUUUUUGCACAGCCCUAAUUGUACAGUAUUGUGACAUGUCUGUUUAUGUUGUUUAAGGAAGACUCCUACAAGGAACCAGUGAGAGCAUAGACUGUGAUAGUGACAUGGCAACACUGCCUUUACUGCUCCAUCUCCUUCCACCAUCACCUCAACGGAAUCAGUGCAUCAGAUUUGCAGUGAGCAGGCUUGUGGUGUAUCAUAAGUCUUGUACCAGCCUUGAAGAACAUCUUCAGCAACGAGUAGGAUGACAACCGUACCUUACUGCGGUUAGCAGGAUCUGCGGCCAGAUUUGAGAACUUUGAUGUGGCUUUUGAUAAGAAUCUCACCCCAUCAGUCGGAAGGCUCCCUUUUAUUAGCAUUUGACUUUGUUUUUAAUGUAAUGUAUGAUGAUGGACUCCUUUACUUUAACUAAUUUAAUCAAACAACAGUUUACAUGUUGGGAAAACUAGAGAUUGAGAGCUGAGAGCAAACUUUUUUUAACUAGCUGUAACUAGUAUCUCAUUUACGGUUUCAGCAUGCAUUUUAUCCUUGCCCAAAUUUCUAAUUAAUAUGUGCUGAAGAAAAUUGUGAUUACUUUUGUGAUGUAUUGUUUUACAGAAUGUUUAGUGAAAGAUUUGCUGUGAUUUGCCCUAGAUGUGUGUCAGACAUGGAUUUUAAAACACUUUUCCAGUUUUGUUUAAACUCCUUGGCAAAAUUGAAAGGACUGUAUACAUAACCACUCUCUGAAAAUUUUGAAAAAGUUCACAAGUGAAACUUUAUUUUUUUAUAAAUAUUUAAUAAUGUCAAAUAAAUUUGUUAAAUAAAUUUGUGGUCAAUAA